AGCCCAAACCCAUUUAUGCUAGCAAGUACAAAAAGAAAAUGUUUUUAAAAAUAAAUAAGUUUAAAAAAAAGAAUGAACAACAUGAAUAUAAUUGAAAGCUAAUUAAUUCAAGACUCCAUUCAAUUGAUGUGACUUAAUUAAUACUAUUAAUAUUAAUGAAGGUAACGAUAAAGCAUUUAGUUUCAUUUACCUGCAGUGUGCUGACAUAUGUGGUGGCACUCUCUGAGAAAUUGCCAGCUUGUCAUGACUGUGAUCACUCCAAUGUUUACUUUAUCUGUUUACUGGCGUGAGAAAGAUUUCUUCUGCUUGCUAUUUGUAGCAGAAUCAUAAAUACGGGGGAUAACAAGUAUGUUUGCCAGUUUGCAAUAAACUGUAAACAGAGGAAAUCGAAGAAUCCUCAUUGCAGCAAUGAGAAUUUCUUAAGGAUAACUAUGAUCAUUUUACAAUCUGUAAUUAGGUAGUAUAAGUACUUGAAUGCAAGCCAGCGGCAGGUCAUACAUUAACGUUGAGCAACAAUGUUAGCAAUCAAGCAUGAAAUCAAUUCUCACAUAAGUAAAUUGGCACAGUUGUGAUUUUGGUACAUAUGUGAUAAAUCAUUUUUACAUGCUGUGCAUUAGAAGCUUUUUAUUACAUUCAGAAUGACAUAUGCUUAGAUCCUAUCUAGGACUGCCAGACCUGUGAUGUGCAUUAAACCCAUGCCUAUUGAUAUCAUUGCCGCUGGAACUUGAUAUGGGCUCACAUUUCCUCUUAAAAAUGUGUGUGCACGUCUUGACUGUGCAAGGCUUCCUUUCUCUGCCACUCAUGAAGACUAAUAGGUCAGUGUCAUCCACCUGCCAGCCUAUCCAGGGGCUAAUUGACAUCAGUAUUCCAGUCUUUCAAGGCCACAGCUCCAUUAAGGCACAGCCCUGAUGGAAGUUUAUGCUGUGUUGUGUUCAAAUAGCUGUGAGGCAGGCAGCUCAGGGGAAGAAGUGCGCCCUCCUCUUUACAGACACAUAGACACACCCUAAAGCUCAGAGGAGGAUGUUGCUUCUGCACCAGGGAUGCCAUCUGAGCUCUGAUGACAGAUCUAAAAAUGAGGAUGCAAGUGAUGGCUACUGAAAUAGUCCUUAGAACAGACAGACCACCUACCUGGAACAUUGCUGGGAGAAACUUCAUGGCCUCAUUAAAGUUGUCAAGGUUAAUAAAAGACUGUCCGACAAACCAAAGGUUGGCCUUUUCAGUUCCAACAGCUUCCUACAAGACGAGAGUUCUCCUCGCUAGUGUGACUGGUGACAUUGAACCUGACUUACAAAGCACCGCGCCUGAUGUUAACAUGGUGGUGGCCAAUAAAACAGGUAAUGGGUGGAAGUGGCUCCAAGAACAUCUCCAUCCUCAUUGACACUUUGGCCCAGCAGUGAGUGUGCAAGAAAAAAACAGAUGCAUUUAUAACAAUAUUCCACCAUCAAUUCUGAAUAAAUGAUUAUCUCACUGACUUCGGGGUGUUCCUGGUUUCACUGUAUGCCAUGUUGUCACUUGUGGGCGGAGCACCAAGGCAAAUUCCUUGUAUGUGAAUACUUGGCCAAUAAACUUAUUCAUUCAUCCAUUCAUUCUUCCACAUCUCAAAAACAUGCAGGGUGGUAGGUUAAUUGACCUUUGUAACUACCCUCUAAUGUGUGGAUGAUAGAAUCAGGAGGCUGCUUAUGUAAAUGUUGGAAAAAUAAAAUGGGAUGUUUGCUGUAAAUAGAUGGUGUGGGCCUGUUUCCAUGUGUAUUAUUACUCCAAAACAUUUCAAGCACUGGAAAUCUGAAGUAAAGAGAAAA